rnacentral:rRNA from 1 species
UACGGGGGGAGCAAGCGUUGUUCGGAUUUACUGGGCGCAAAGGGCGCGUAGGCGGCCACCGCAAGUCGGUUGUGAAAUCUCCGGGCUUAACCCGGAAAGGUCAAUCGAUACUGCGGGGCUAGAGUGCAGAAGGGGCAACUGGAAUUCUCGGUGUAGCGGUGAAAUGCGUAGAUAUCGAGAGGAACACCUGCGGCGAAGGCGGGUUGCUGGGCUGACACUGACGCUGAAGCGCGAAAGCUAGGGGAGCGAACGGG